rfam:Helianthus annuus linkage group 12, whole genome shotgun sequence.
GUUGCUUCAUAAUGGUGAAAUCUCUCAAAAUCGAAUGAGAGAAUCUCAAGUUUCCGGAGCAUAGAUUAAGCAUUCUAUCACCAGUAUUAAACAGCUCGGUGCGUAUACAAUCGCAUCGAUGUUACCUGUCUCCUGGUAUACCU